rnacentral:rRNA from 1 species
GAUGAACGCUAGCGGCAGGCCUAAUACAUGCAAGUCGAACGAUACCAGAGAGCUUGCUUUCUGGGAAAGUGGCGCACGGGUGCGUAACGCGUAUGCAACCUACCUUAAUCAGGGGGAUAGCCUCUCGAAAGAGAGAUUAACACCGCAUAAAAUCACACUUCGGCAUCGAAGAAUGAUCAAAUAUUUAUAGGAUUAAGAUGGGCAUGCGUGGCAUUAGCUAGUUGGUAAGGUAACGGCUUACCAAGGCUACGAUGUCUAGGGGAUCUGAGAGGAUGACCCCCCACACUGGUACUGAGACACGGACCAGACUCCUACGGGAGGCAGCAGUAAGGAAUAUUGGUCAAUGGGGGCAACCCUGAACCAGCCAUGCCGCGUGCAGGAAGACGGCCCUACGGGUUGUAAACUGCUUUUAUACGGGAAUAAAUCUCGCUACGUGUAGUGAGUUGAAUGUACUGUAAGAAUAAGGAUCGGCUAACUCCGUG